rnacentral:misc_RNA from 1 species
UUUCCGUAGGUGAACCUGCGGAAGGAUCAUUAUUGUAUAACCGAGGUGCGAGGGCUGUCGCUGACCCGAAAGGUCGUGCACGCCCGAGUGCCCUCACACACAUCCAUCUCACCCCUAUGUGCACCACCGCGUGGCUCCCCCUUUGGCUUGUUCGGAGGGGGGCUUACGUUUUCACACAAACUUUGUAUGCAGUGUAGAAUGUAUUUUUUGUUUUUGCGAUCACGCAAUCAAUACAACUUUCAACAACGGAUCUCUUGGCUCUG